UUUUUUUUUUUUGUUGCAAAAAAUAAAAUUUUAAAACAAUAAAUUUAUAGCUAGGACUGAACACUGCAGUUUAGCAAGAAAUCACAAUGAUCCAUUUAUUGUUCAUUUCACUAGUUGACUUUUGCAUCAAUUUAAACAAAUAAAAUUUGAAGCGUCCCCACGAGGACUACUACUAACAUAAAUUUUAAACACACGCUGAGUUGGCUAAAUAUUAUUCGCACUUGACCAUAGACACAUGUAGGCCAAGUGAAGUGGAUGCAAACCUUACCCCUAACUUAGAGGUAGAAUGUCUAUUUUUGGUACACCCUCAAUUCAAGACAAAUAAUCCAAAUCAAUCCGAAAGUAGAGGAAGCAAUAGAUAGUAACAUAAUAGUAUUACAACAAAACAAUACGAUUGUAGAAGUACAAGAAACAAUAGAUAGUAAUAGGAAUCGAAGAACAAUAUGUUUCCCAUAUUUUGAGUUUGAACCUCUCACCUACUUGUCCAUACAAUAAGAAUGAGAGCAAAUAUUAUCCAAGGUUCCUCCACCAUCUAUUCUUG
rnacentral:lncRNA from 1 species